GGUUGUGGCUCAGUGGAAGAGCACUUGCCUAGCAUGUGUGAGACACUGGGUUCAAUCUUCAGCACCA
rnacentral:tRNA from 1 species